rnacentral:rRNA from 1 species
CCUACGGGGAGCAGCAGUCGAGAAUCAUUCACAAUGGGGGAAACCCUGAUGGUGCGACGCCGCGUGGGGGAAUGAAGGUCUUCGGAUUGUAAACCCCUGUCAUGUGGGAGCAAAUUAAAAAGAUAGUACCACAAGAGGAAGAGACGGCUAACUCUGUGCCAGCAGCCGCGGUAAUACAGAGGUCUCAAGCGUUGUUCGGAAUCACUGGGCGUAAAGCGUGCGUAGGCUGUUUCGUAAGUCGUGUGUGAAAGGCGCGGGCUCAACCCGCGGACGGCACAUGAUACUGCGAGACUAGAGUAAUGGAGGGGGAACCGGAAUUCUCGGUGUAGCAGUGAAAUGCGGAGAUAGCGAGAGGAACACUCGUGGCGAAGGCGGGUUCCUGGACAUUAACUGACGCUGAGGCACGAAGGCCAGGGGAGCGAAAGGGAUUAGAUACCCCAGUAGUC